rnacentral:rRNA from 1 species
UACAGAGGUCCCAAGCGUUGUUCGGAUUCACUGGGCGUAAAGGGUGCGUAGGUGGUGAGGUAAGUCGGAUGUGAAAGCUCGGAGCUCAACUCCGAAAUGGCAUUGGAAACUACCUCGCUAGAGGAUCGGAGGGGAGACUGGAAUUCUCGGUGUAGCAGUGAAAUGCGUAGAUAUCGGAAGGAACACCAGUGGCGAAAGCGGCUUCCUGGUCCAGCACCGACGUUCAGGCACGAAAGCGUGGGGAGCAAACAGG